ensembl:lncRNA
CACCCUGUAGGUGGGGAUUGAUCGUAUCCCAGGUACGGCAUCCUGCAGCGAGCCAGUAUGGAAGGCUGGUUAGCCAACGACGGGUAAGAUCCCACCUUGACACCCGGGACGACCUAAGGCAGGCACAGUCACGAUUACUUGGCAGAGUCGCUGUGGGCACUGGCUUACUUGAUCAUGAAGUCACAAGCUGCAACAAUCAUAGGAAGUGCCGGGUGGGGUGUAGGGGGGAGGAGGAACAGGAGUCAGAUAUGUCAGCUCUUGCAGCAGAGGUGGUCUUGGAACGGGGCAUGUCGCGUUUUAUUUUAUUUUAUUUUACCUUUGUGGUAUAGAAGGCCACUACCGCAUGUACGUUUUUUCGGUUUAGUGCAUGACUUUGGAACAGUGUGGUUUCAGGCGGCUGAUGGUAAACCCACCCAUAUUGGGCUUUGGAUUUGGACAUACUGGUUUCGAUUUCCCUUCCCAAAAGAUUGGCUUUAAUUUGCUGAUGGUUAAGGUUAGACGUUUCGACGUUGGUUGUACCAACGGCGUUCUUAGAUUUGCUUAUCAUUUAAUGCGCAUGGUUUUGACCAUUGCCCAAGGGGGGAGGUAUUGAGGAGAAUUUAAAAAAAAAAAAAUAAUAAUAAUAAUUAGAAAACAAGGUUUUUCUUCACCAUACUUGCAAACAAUGAUUGACAUCCAGCUAAAUGAGUGUGAAAUACAGUGUUCAACAGAUGGGUAGAAGCAGUCCCAUCAAAAGACCAAAGUGCGACUACAGUAAUCAAGUUUCUGACUGGAGAAGUCAAGACAAGCAAGAGAAACACAAAGUUCCAGGGCCAGAGGAGGAGCCAGAUGCAGACACGCCCGGAGCCGACCAACUACCCAAGGAUGAUGCCAUCAGAUUUCGGCAGGCACCGGAUGGGUCGGUGGCCAGGGUGCUGGCAGGGUUACAGUCCCUCAGAUUAGAGUUGGCAGAGAGCUCCGGCAUUAAUGACCCCUUCACAGGAUGGAUGGAGAGCCCAAUGAGCGAUGGGUGCUACAGGUGCAGCAGGUGCCAUCCAAGCUUACCUGGGGAUCGAGUAUACACCGGAGAGUUUGGACGAGGGACCACCAGAAGGGCCCGACCUGUUCUGGCUGGAGAACAUAGAAUAGACCUCCUGCACCAUUGUCCAAGAGCCCCCACGCCAUGCAGCGCACCAAUACAUGAAGAUCCCCUGACCCCCCCCCCCCUUUUCCCAUCC